CGUGUGGUGUCCGGCAUAGAUUCGGAUAGCGACGCGGCCCAAUUUGAGGU
rfam:Vibrio anguillarum 775 chromosome I, complete sequence.